rnacentral:rRNA from 1 species
UAAGGAAUAUUGGUCAAUGGGCGCAAGCCUGAACCAGCCAUGCCGCGUGCAGGAAGACGGCCCUAUGGGUUGUAAACUGCUUUUGUCAGGGAAUAAACCCCCGCUCGUGAGCGGGGCUGAAGGUACCUGAAGAAUAAGCAUCGGCUAACUCCGUGCCAGCAGCCGCGGCAAUACGGAGGAUGCAAGCGUUAUCCGGAUUCAUUGGGUUUAAAGGGUGCGCAGGCGGAUUGGUAAGUCAGGGGUGAAAUCCCACAGCUCAACUGUGGAACUGCCUUUGAUACUGUCAGUCUAGAGUAUAGUUGAAGUGGGCGGAAUGUGUCAUGUAGCGGUGAAAUGCUUAGAUAUGACACAGAACACCGAUCGCGAAGGCAGCUCGCUAAGCUAUAACUGACGCUCAUGCACGAAAGCGUGGGGAUCAAACA